rnacentral:rRNA from 1 species
UGGGGAAUUUUGGACAAUGGGCGAAAGCCUGAUCCAGCAAUGCCGCGUGUGUGAAGAAGGCCUUCGGGUUGUAAAGCACUUUUGUCCGGAAAGAAAUCCUUGGCUCUAAUACAGUCGGGGGAUGACGGUACCGGAAGAAUAAGCACCGGCUAACUACGUGCCAGCAGCCGCGGUAAUACGUAGGGUGCAAGCGUUAAUCGGAAUUACUGGGCGUAAAGCGUGCGCAGGCGGUUUGCUAAGACCGAUGUGAAAUCCCCGGGCUCAACCUGGGAACUGCAUUGGUGACUGGCAGGCUAGAGUAUGGCAGAGGGGGGUAGAAUUCCACGUGUAGCAGUGAAAUGCGUAGAGAUGUGGAGGAAUACCGAUGGCGAAGGCAGCCCCCUGGGCCAAUACUGACGCUCAUGCACGAAAGCGUGGGGAGCAAACAGGAUUAGAUACCCUGGUAGUCCCACGCCCUAAACGAUGUCAACUAGUUGUUGGGGAUUCAUUUCCUUAGUAACGUAGCUAACGCGUGAAGUUGACCGCCUGGGGAGUACGGUCGCAAGAUUAAAACUCAAAUGAAUUGACGGGGUCAUAGCUGUUUCCU